AGCGAACGCUGGCGGCAGGCUUAACACAUGCAAGUCGAACGGGCAUCUUCGGAUUUCAGUGGCAGACGGGUGAGCAACCCGGGGGAACGCACCCUUCUGUCCGGAAUUACUCAGUGAAAUUUGUUCUAAUACCGGAUACGCCCACCUGGGGGAAGGUCGACUGCCGUAGGGUCGGCCCGCGUCUGUUUGGCUUGUGGGUUGGGGUAGCGCCUGCCAAGGCUACGGGUAGUAGCUGGUCUGAGCGGAUGAUCAGCCACGCUGGGACUGCGACACGGCCCAGACUGCUACGGGGGGCAGCAGUGGGGAGUAUUGGGGAAUGAGCGCAAGCCUGAUCCAGCCAUGCCGCGUGAGAGAUGAAGGCCUUAGGGUUGUAAAGCUCUUUUGGCCGAGACGAUAAUGACGGUACCGGAAGAAUAAGCCCCGGCUAACUUCGUG
rnacentral:rRNA from 1 species